rnacentral:rRNA from 1 species
AGCGCAGGCGGUUUUUUAAGUCUGAUGUGAGAGCCUUCGGCUCAACCGAAGAAGUGCAUCGGAAACUGGGAAACUUGAGUGCAGAAGAGGACAGUGGAACUCCAUGUGUAGCGGUGAAAUGCGUAGAUAUAUGGAAGAACACCAGUGGCGAAGGCGGCUGUCUGGUCUGUAACUGACGCUGAGGAGCGAAAGCAUGGGAGCGAACA